rnacentral:rRNA from 1 species
UACGGAGGACCCAAGCGUUAUCCGGAUUUAUUGGGUUUAAAGGGUGCGUAGGCGGAUUAUUAAGUCAGUGGUGAAAGCCUGCAGCUUAACUGCAGAACUGCCAUUGAUACUGAUGAUCUUGAGUACAGUUGAGGUGGGCGGAAUGUGUCAUGUAGCGGUGAAAUGCAUAGAUAUGACACAGAACACCUAUUGCGAAGGCAGCUCGCUAAACUGUAACUGACGCUGAGGCACGAAAGCGUGGGGAUCAAACAGG